rnacentral:rRNA from 1 species
AUUGAACGCUGGCGGCAUGCCUUACACAUGCAAGUCGAACGGCAGCACGGGAGCAAUCCUGGUGGCGAGUGGCGAACGGGUGAGUAAUAUAUCGGAACGUGCCCAGUCGUGGGGGAUAACGCAGCGAAAGCUGUGCUAAUACCGCAUACGAUCUACGGAUGAAAGCGGGGGAUCGCAAGACCUCGCGCGAUUGGAGCGGCCGAUAUCAGAUUAGCUAGUUGGUGAGGUAAAGGCUCACCAAGGCGACGAUACGUAGCUGGCCUGGGAGGAUGACCAGCCACACUGGAACUGAGACACGGUCCAGACGCCGACGGGAGGCAGCAGUGGGGAAUUGUGGACAAUGGGCGCAAGCCUGACUCAGCAAUGCCGCGUGCAGGAUGAAGGCCUUCGGGUUGUAAACUGCUUUUGUACGGAACGAAACGGUGAGCUCUAAUACAGUUUGCUAAUGACGGUACCGUAAGAAUAAGCACCGGCUAACUACGUGCCAGCCGCCGCAGUAA